rnacentral:rRNA from 1 species
CUGCUGCCUCCCGUAGGAGUCUGGGCCGUGUCUCAGUCCCAGUGUGGCCGGCCACCCUCUCAGGCCGGCUACCUAUCGUCGCCUUGGUAGGCCAUUACCCUACCAACUAGCUAAUGGGACGCGAGUCCAUCUUUCAGCGUCAGGUCUCCCCAACUUUUCCUAUAUAAACAUGCACUUAUAUAACUCAUCCGGCAUUAGCUCACCUUUCGGUAAGUUGUUCCAGUCUAAAAGGCAGGUCACUCACGUGUUACUCACCCG